UGGUGGCCUCGUGGCCCUUGGGUGUCCCCUGGUGGCCUCGUGGCCCUUGGGUGUCCCCUGGUGGCCUCGUGGUCCCCCAGGCCUCAUGGUGGCCCUUGGGUGUCCCCUGGUGGCCUCGUGGCCCUUGGGUGUCCCCUGGUGGCCUCGUGGCCCUUGGGUGUCCCCUGGUGGCCUCGUGGCCCUUGGGUGUCCCCUGAUGGCCUCGUGGCCCUUGGGUGUCCUGUGGUGGCCUCGUGGCCCC